AACCAACAGGGAUUACCUCAGUAACGGCGAGUGAAGCGGUAACAGCUCAAAUUUGAAAUCUGGGUCUUUCAGGCUCCGAGUUGUAAUUUGUAGAAGAUGCUUCGGGUGCGGCUCCGGUCUAAGUUCCUUGGAACAGGACGUCAUAGAGGGUGAGAAUCCCGUAUGUGAUCGGUCGCUUGCGCCCAUGUGAAGCUCUUUCGACGAGUCGAGUUGUUUGGGAAUGCAGCUCCAAAUGGGUGGUAUAUUUCAUCUAAAGCUAAAUAUUGGCCAGAGACCGAUAGCGCACAAGUAGAGUGAUCGAAAGAUGAAAAGCACUUUGGAAAGAGAGUUAAACAGUACGUGAAAUUGUUGAAAGGGAAGCGCUUGCAACCAGACUUGCGUGUUGUUGAUCAUCCGGGGUUCUCCCCGGUGCACUCGACCUCACUCAGGCCAGCAUCGGUUUCGGUGGUUGGAUAAAGGCCUUGGGAAUGUAGCUCCUCUCGGGGAGUGUUAUAGCCCUCGGUGCAAUGCAGCCUACCGGGACCGAGGACCGCGCUUCGGCUAGGAUGCUGGCGUAAUGGUUGUAAGCGACCCGUCUUGAAACACGGACCAAGGAGUCUAACAUCUAUGCGAGUGUUUGGGUGUCAAACCCAUACGCGUAAUGAAAGUGAACGGAGGUGAGAACCCUUAAGGGUGCAUCAUCGACCGAUCCUGAUGUCUUCGGAUGGAUUUGAGUAAGAGCAUAGCUGUUGGGACCCGAAAGAUGGUGAACUAUGCCUGAAUAGGGUGAAGCCAGAGGAAACUCUGGUGGAGGCUCGCAGCGGUUCUGACGUGCAAAUCGAUCGUCAAAUUUGGGUAUAGGGGCGAAAGACUAAUCGA
rnacentral:rRNA from 1 species